GUGGGGAAUAUUGGACAAUGGGGGAAACCCUGAUCCAGCAAUGCCGCGUGUGCGAAGAAGGCCUUCGGGUUGUAAAGCACUUUUGUCAGGGAAGAAAUCCUUUGGGCUAAUACCCUAGGGGGAUGACGGUACCUGAAGAAUAAGCACCGGCUAACUACGUGCCAGCAGCCGCGGUAAU
rnacentral:rRNA from 1 species